UACGUAGGGUGCGAGCGUUAAUCGGAAUUACUGGGCGUAAAGCGUGCGCAGGCGGUUCGUUAAGUCAGCUGUGAAAGCCCCGGGCUUAACCUGGGAAUGGCGGUUGAAACUGGCGAACUUGAAUCUGGCAGAGGGGGGUGGAAUUCCACGUGUAGCAGUGAAAUGCGUAGAGAUGUGGAGGAACACCGAUGGCGAAGGCAGCCCCCUGGGCCAAGAUUGACGCUCAGGCACGAAAGCGUGGGGAGCAAACAGG
rnacentral:rRNA from 1 species